UUGCAUAUUUAAUCAUUUCUUAGGAAAUAAUUCAUGAAGGUGUCCUGUUUUGUCUGAUUAUUUCAGUGUCAACAUUACCGUUAGCACUUAUGUGACACUACCACAGCAUGGGAGAUGUCCUGGCUGGUCCACCAGUACUAUAGUACAACACUAGCAACUAAGCGGAACUACGUACUUCAUCACGGAAAUCUGACCAGAACUGGACUUAGGAGACCAAGUGGGGGAAAGUGGUAUCAGCAGGGAAAAAAAGGAGCGGUGCAGCUAUGAAUCCGGCAGAGGCGGCUGUCACACAAGUUAUUUCACUCAAGAUUAUCAAGCAGGAAGAUGCUUUGACAAGACGUGAUGUGUAAGUACACAUUUUAUAAGUACAGUGCUAUAUGGCUGUAUUUAUGUAAUGUGAAA